GUGACCUUCGGACCAUAAGCCACAAAGGAGACAAAGCUUAUCUCCCUGCCAGGGGCGCUGCCUCUGCUCCUUUUACUUCACCCUGCCUGGCCCCCGAUGCAUGAUCGAUUAGCCAAUGAUGGCAUCUGCCUCAGGAGGAUUGACUUUCAUCCCAGCAGGCAGCAGAAACUUCCUUCUGUGACUCUGUGAGUCUCCAGAUGAUAAGAGUGUGUGUCUAACCCACCUCAGAUUCUGUCACAUUUGAACACAUUUAUGUAUAUGGCUUGUCUCCAGCCAAGAAAAUGUAUCUUCUAAGAGACUCUGUUAGCCUCUUCUGAAAUCUGUUGGAAGAUUCUUGCCAACCAAGAAAUAUGGGGAGAAGAGAAAGAAAAGUGGAUAAUCCAGGUAUAUUUAUAACAGUUUAGUCUUUCUUUGUUUCAACACCGGCUGUGUGAGUGUUGUCUUCACUAAGCAAUACUGCCACACCAACCAGGCAUCCUACCAUUUUACCCAUUCUGAUAGUAUCUACCUGGAUAUAGUGUCAGAACCCACAGGUUAAGGGUUCAGUCCUUGGGUACUGCCUGACCCCUUCAGAUUUGGACCCCAAGGAGUAGGUUCCCUGGGUGUUCUCAUAACUUCCAUCCAACAUGACUGCAUAUCAGAGGUUCCCACAAACCCCUUCACAGGGUUUAUAAAUUUUCUAGAGUGUUUCACAGAUCUCAGGAAAACAUUUUCCUUAUGUUAACCAGUUUAUUAAAGUAUUUGACAAAGGAUGCAGAUGAAGAGAUACAUGGGACUGAGCCUGGGAGUGUCCUGAGUA